rnacentral:misc_RNA from 1 species
GAUUUCUCAUUUUCACAUCUCACCUGGUAAACAAAUUUAAAAUAAGUCAAAACUAGUAAUACAAUGAAUGGAACCAGCAAUCAGAAAACCAAUGGCAUAUCAUCUACAAAUUCUAGGCUCCAAAACUAACAACGUAAACAAACACAUAAGCAUAUAUGGAGAAAUCAUUAUGCACAAGAGUGAUACCGGGAUAAGCUUUUGCUCCUGC